rnacentral:tRNA from 1 species
GGACCCUUAGCUCAGUCGGUUAGAGCAACUGACUCAUAAUCAGUAGGUCCCAGGUUCGAGUCCUGGAGGGGCCC